CCCUUAGAUGUUCUGGGCCGCACACACGCUACACUGAAGGAGGCAGCGUGUACUCCUGGAUCGAAAGAUUUGGGUAACCCGCGAAUCUCCUUCGUGCUAGGGAUUGAGGUUUGCAAUUAUCCUUCAUGAACGAGGAAUUCCCAGUAAGUGCAAGUCAUAAGCUUGCGCUGACUACGUCCCUGCCCUUUGUACACACCGCCCGUCGCUACUACCGAUUGAAUGAUUUAGUGAGGACUUCGGACUGGGACCGAUGCGGCUUUCGGGCUGCGUCGGUAUUCUGGAAAGAUGUCCAAACUGUAUCAUUUAGAGGAAGUAAAANUCGUAACA
rnacentral:rRNA from 1 species